rnacentral:rRNA from 1 species
UACGUAGGGGGCAAGCGUUGUCCGGAAUCAUUGGGCGUAAAGAGCGUGUAGGCGGUCCGGUAAGUCCGCUGUGAAAGUCCAGGGCUCAACCCUGGAAUGCCGGUGGAUACUGCCGGGCUAGAGUCCGGAAGAGGCGAGUGGAAUUCCCGGUGUAGCGGUGAAAUGCGCAGAUAUCGGGAAGAACACCCGUGGCGAAGGCGGCUCUCUGGGACGGUACUGACGCUGAGACGCGAAAGCGUGGGGAGCGAACAGG